UACGAAGGGGGCUAGCGUUGUUCGGAAUUACUGGGCGUAAAGCGCACGUAGGCGGACAUUUAAGUCAGGGGUGAAAUCCCAGAGCUCAACUCUGGAACUGCCUUUGAUACUGGGUGUCUUGAGUAUGGAAGAGGUGAGUGGAAUUCCGAGUGUAGAGGUGAAAUUCGUAGAUAUUAGGAAGAACACCAGUGGCGAAGGCGGCUCACUGGUCCGGUUCUGACGCUGAGGCACGAAAGCGUGGGGAGCAAACAGG
rnacentral:rRNA from 1 species